AACAAGGCGUACCUGCGGACCUGCGGAGGGAUCAUUACCGAGUUUACAACUCCCAAACCCCUGUGAACAUACCACUUGUUGCCUCGGCGGAUCAGCCCGCUCCCGGUAAAACGGGACGGCCCGCCAGAGGACCCCUAAACUCUGUUUCUAUAUGUAACUUCUGAGUAAAACCAUAAAUAAAUCAAAACUUUCAACAAUGGAUCU
rnacentral:misc_RNA from 1 species